UACGGAGGGGGCUAGCGUUGUUCGGAAUUACUGGGCGUAAAGCGCACGUAGGCGGCUUUGUAAGUUAGAGGUGAAAGCCCGGGGCUCAACCCCGGAGGUGCGGCCGAGACUGCAGGGCUGGAGGCCGGAAGAGGAGAGUGGAAUUCCCAGUGUAGAGGUGAAAUUCGUAGAUAUUGGGAAGAACACCAGUGGCGAAGGCGGCUCUCUGGUCCGAUACUGACGCUGAGGUGCGAAAGCGUGGGGAGCAAACAGG
rnacentral:rRNA from 1 species